GGGGGCGAAAAGGUUUCGACGGGGAUAUUUUGAAGAUAUAGGUUGCGUACCGAGGAGCUGCCCGGCCUCGUUAAAAGGCAGAAUUACAAUAAUUGCUGAAUACGACGAUUUAGCUCUCGCGGCUUAGUUGCCGCGCAUCCUGAUAUUCUUUCGCCUGUGAAGGUAUUAUAGGGUGUAAAACAAGCAGGCUGGCUAACCCAUGGAUCUUGCUUGGACAUAGGUUAGUAAGAAAAAUAAGCUGGCAUCUCCUGAGAUUUUGCCUGUGGAAGCUUGGAGAUGCGAGAUUAAAUCACAGGAUAUGUACGUAGUAGCCUUAUCUUUAAGUCUUCGGACGCGGGUUCGAUUCCCGCCGCCUCCACCA
rnacentral:tmRNA from 1 species